UACGGAGGGUGCAAGCGUUAAUCGGAAUUACUGGGCGUAAAGCGUGCGCAGGCGGUUUGUUAAGUCUGCUGUGAAAUCCCCGAGCUCAACUUGGGAAUUGCAGUGGAUACUGGCAGGCUGGAGUAUGGUAGAGGAAGGUGGAAUUCCCGGUGUAGCAGUGAAAUGCGUAGAGAUCGGGAGGAACACCAGUGGCGAAGGCGGCCUUCUGGACCAAUACUGACGCUCAUGCACGAAAGCGCGGGGAGCAAACAGG
rnacentral:rRNA from 1 species